CAGUCGCCACGGUAAUACGAAGGGUGCAAGCGUUACUCGGAAUUACUGGGCGUAAAGCGUGCGUAGGUGGUGGUUUAAGUCCGUUGUGAAAGCCCUGGGCUCAACCUGGGAAUUGCAGUGGAUACUGGGUCACUAGAGUGUAGUAGAGGAUAGUGGAAUUUCCGGUGUAGCAGUGAAAUGCGUAGAGAUCGGAAGGAACAUCUGUGGCGAAGGCGACUAUCUGGGCCAACACUGACACUGAGGCACGAAAGCGUGGGGAGCAAACAGGAUUAGAUACCCCCGUAGUCCCUGUCUCUUAUAC
rnacentral:rRNA from 1 species